rnacentral:rRNA from 1 species
UGGAUCCAGACUUUGAUCUGGCUCAGGAUGAACGCUAGCUACAGGCUUAACACAUGCAAGUCGAGGGGAAACGAUAUUGGAAGCUUGCUUCCGAUAGGCGUCGACCGGCGCACGGGUGAGUAACGCGUAUCCAACCUGCCCAUCACUUGGGGAUAACCUUGCGAAAGUAAGACUAAUACCCAAUGACGUCUCUAGAAGACAUCUGAAGGAGAUUAAAGAUUUAUCGGUGAUGGAUGGGGAUGCGUCUGAUUAGCUUGUUGGCGGGGUAACGGCCCACCAAGGCGACGAUCAGUAGGGGUUCUGAGAGGAAGGUCCCCCACAUUGGAACUGAGACACGGUCCAAACUCCUACGGGAGGCAGCAGUGAGGAAUAUUGGUCAAUGGACGAGAGUCUGAACCAGCCAAGUAGCGUGCAGGAUGACGGCCCUAUGGGUUGUAAACUGCUUUUAUAAGGGAAUAAAGUGAGUCUCGUGAGACUUUUUGCAUGUACCUUAUGAAUAAGGACCGGCUAAUUCCGUGCCAGCAGCCGCGGUAAUACGGAAGGUC